AAUCAACGCUGGCGGCGUGCCUAACACAUGCAAGUCGCACGAGAAAGGGUAGCAAUACCUGAGUAAAGUGGCGCACGGGUGAGUAACACGUGACUAAUCUACCCUCGAGUGGGGAAGUAACUGAGAGAAAUCUUAGCUAAUACCGCAUAACACUUACGAGUCAAAGCAGCAAUGCGCUUGGGGAGGAGGUCGCGGCAGAUUAGCUAGUUGGUGGGGUAAGUGGCCCACCAACGGCAAUGAUCUGUAUCCGGCCUGAGAGGGC
rnacentral:rRNA from 1 species